CUUUUUAGGUUGGAACACUGUUAUGUUCUUUCUUAUAUUCCUUCGGAAGAAUAUUAUUAUACAAAAAUGACGGAAGCCACGAUCCGGACACGAAAAUUUAUGACAAACCGGCUAUUAUGCCGGAAACAAAUGGUAGUUGAUGUCCAUCAUCCUGGACAAGCUUCUGUACGAAAAACUGAGAUACGAGAAAAGUUAGCAAAAAUGUAUAAAGUAACACCAGAUGUUGUAUUUGUUUUUGGAUUUUUAACACACUUUGGUGGAGGUAAAUCCACUGGAUUUGCUUUAAUAUAUGACACCUUAGAUUUCGCUAAAAAGUUCGAACCAAAACAUAGGCUAGCAAGGCACGGCCUUUAUGAAAAGCAAAAGCUAACCCGAAAACAACGAAAAGAACGUAAAAAUAGAAUGAAGAAAGUUCGGGGUACUAAAAAAAGUAAAGUAGGAGCAGCUUCUAAGAAGGGGAGGAAGUAGACAAAUGCUCCUAAAUUUGCUCUACAAACCUCAAGAAGAAAUAGCCUCUUAUUCUGAUGUUUAUAUAUGUGAAUCCAUUACCACCAUCAUGAAGGCCACAAUAAUACCGGUAACAUCGUCGUAAAAAUUGUUUUAGUACAUUUGAACAUCAAUAUUAACAUGGUAACACUUAAGAACGAAUUUACGAAAUAAAAUUGUGAACUUCCUCAUUAAAAAGAUUAUUUUUCA